GUGCCAGCCGCCGCGGUAAUACGGGGGGUGCAAACGUUGUUCGGAAUCACUGGGCGUAAAGAGCGCGUAGGCGGUCGGGUAAGUGGGGUGUGAAAUCCAUCGGCUCAACCGGUGAACUGCAUUCCAUACUACUCGGCUUGAGGGCAGCAGAGGAGACGGGAAUUCUCGGUGUAGCGGUGAAAUGCGUAGAUAUCGAGAGGAACACCAGUGGCGAAGGCGCGUCUCUGGGCUGCUCCUGACGCUGAGGCGCGAAAGCUAGGGGAGCGAACAGGAUUAGAUACCCCGGUAGUCC
rnacentral:rRNA from 1 species